rnacentral:rRNA from 1 species
AACGAACGCUGGCGGCAUGCCUAACACAUGCAAGUCGAACGAGAUCCUUCGGGGUCUAGUGGCGCACGGGUGCGUAAUGCGUGGGAAUCUGCCCUUAGGUUCGGAAUAACAGUUAGAAAUGACUGCUAAUACCGGAUGAUGACGUUAAGUCCAAAGAUUUAUCGCCUGAGGAUGAGCCCGCGUAGGAUUAGCUAGUUGGUGUGGUAAAGGCGCACCAAGGCGACGAUCCUUAGCUGGUCUGAGAGGAUGAUCAGCCACACUGGGACUGAGACACGGCCCAGACUCCUACGGGAGGCAGCAGUGGGGAAUAUUGGACAAUGGGCGCAAGCCUGAUCCAGCAAUGCCGCGUGAGUGAUGAAGGCCUUAGGGUUGUAAAGCUCUUUUACCCGGGAUGAUAAUGACAGUACCGGGAGAAUAAGCCCCGGCUAACUCCGUG